GUUGGAAGCACAGUGUUUGUUUACCACACUGCCCCUGGGUUUGCCUCUGGCUUGUUCUUCCUGGGGGAGAGGCAGUGGAUCUGCUGCUGGUUCCUAAAACACUGACAUCUGUGAUGGCCUUCUGUAGUGAAACCAUUUUCCUAGCAGUAGCAUCAGGCUCUUCUUUACACUUUUCCCUUAUCAGCACAUCGUGCAGUGUGUACGCAGUGUCUCGGUGCAGCCGGGUCUACUGCAGCUGCAACAGGAGAAGCUUCUCUUGCCUUUUACGUGAUGCUUCAUAAAAGACAGUAGCUCUUGAACCUGGAGUGAGCCAGAGAGCAUUAUUUCUGAGGUCCUCAGUAAUAAUGCACACACCAUCCUCCACAGAUAAGAAAAUAAUGUCAUUGCCAGGUUAGCUGUUGCUUGAGAAAUACAGAAUCCUAUUCCUGAA